ACGUAAGUCCCAAAACUUCCAAAGUUCACUUUUUUGCUUACCCGAUUUUUAAACGUAGUAUAUUUGUUCAUUUAAAUUUUGACUAAACUUGUCCUUCAAUCGCCAGCUGCUGAGGGGAUGGUGUAAGUCCAGCUAGG